GGGAGUUGGUGGGGGUGGUUGCCGAGCCACUCUCUGCCAUCUACCGUCACUUCUGGUUAUCUGGAGAGGUCCCAGAGGAUUGGAGGCUUGUCGAUGCGACUCCCAUCUACAAGAAGGGCUGUAAGAAGGAUCUGGGGAACUACAGGCCGGUCAGCCUGACCUCAGUACCAGGGAAAGCCACUGUUGGUGAGGCAAAGAAAAGUCAUGCCUGAGAAUCUUCCUCCUCUCUCCAGGUAGAGGAGUAGAAAUGAAUUUUGGGAAGAAAAUGACAACAACAACAAAAAUCACCACCAAUUUAUCUUUCUGAGGAGUACUUAAACAUUUGAAUAGGAAAAAGGAACAGUGAAAAGAAGAAAUUUCGAGAAAUACCGAUAUCCUCUAAGUGUAUAUCUUGGAAAGACUAUAGAGAGACUACUCUUAUAGUCAACGUUUUAUUAUAAGGGCGUACACUCAUGGAUUACAAUUAGGAGUAACUGUGGAAGGAACAGCCUCUACCAGCAACCUCUCGGCAGUCUGUAUAAACAGAUGAUGACUACCUCUCAAUCAGCCACCAACUGAGAAGCUGCUUGUUGGAGGACCAGAGGAUGCUGCAUGGGAUACACAGAUUUUGGCUGACACUGUCACAGAGCAGCUUAAUGACUCCCACAGUACGAUGUACUAGGCUUAUAUUGAGCCUAGUUGAAAGCUUAUCAGAGGUGAACGUUGGUGGUGUGGCGGCUGAACUUUCCCACCAAUAUUCCAUUACAUUCUGUUGCUGUGUGACAGAUGGCAUCAGAGGAGCAGUCUGAAAAAAAUGGCAUCUAACAUGGAAGUGCAUAUGUAGCAAAGAACUUCAGAAAGAUGUAUGCCUGCUGCCCAGCUGGUUUGCAUAACAAACUUUUUGGUAAGUUCUAUUCUCACUCCGAAUGUAACUGAGAGACCUUUAAAACUCCUGGGUUAAGACACAAAGGCUAUCCCAAAUUUGUUGUGUAAGCAAGUGGAGAAGCAAAACUACCUAUGAAAAGUUGACAAACCUGCCAAAUCUAUGGAGAAAAUAGACUUAAUGGCUAAAAGAACAGCCUUCCUGUAUUUCUGGAAUCAAGGUCCACUACUGGGAUAUUUAUUUUUUUAAACCUGUAGUUCCUCUCUGUCCAGAAUAAAUAGCAAGUUAUUUCAGAAAGGACAGAAACUGUAUCACCAGCCUGUUAAAAGAUUUAAGAGUCCUCAAAAGGAGUUGGCUUUCCUUUCAUCAAAGCGUUUAUGCUACUCCUCUGUUACAUUAACAUAUUAUAUAAAAUACUAGAACAAUAUUUUUUCUUGGAAAACUAGAGCAGCAACACUGUGAGAACAAGUAUACAAGACAGUCUACUGAAAGAGAUUCCAGGACAGAAAUGGGAACAUAGUGAUUUUAACACUGAUGUUGCAUUUGAACUAUGGGAUGUGUCUGCUUCGUGUUGCACUAUGACUUGCCCAGACCAGACAAGCCAAUAGAGCAUUUUGUUCCUUCCCUCUCAGAUGCAAAGGAUUCUGUGUUGUUAGAUGCCCUGCAGUGCUCAAGAAAUUAUUAAUGCAUAUACACUGGACAGGACCAGGACAAUCUGCCAGAUUCAUAAUAUUUAGUUUUUCAGUAUAUUGAAAGAUUAUUUCCUCAACCCAGGACCCAUGAAUUGGUUUUAGUUGUGAUUUUCUUAAUGCUUCUUUAAUUCACUACCAUUUCACAGGUUUUUUUCAGAUACUUUUGCUUACUUUCAAACCCGUAUGGAUUAAUUUCCAGUUUAUACAUUCACAUUCAGAAGCCAAACAGGCUAUGU
ensembl:lncRNA